rnacentral:lncRNA from 1 species
GUUAAUAUGGAUUUCCUGAAUUGGUUAAUGUACUUUUUUUUCUCCUUGAUAUUGUUUCAAGCUUUCCAUUUGAUCACAAGAAGGAAAUUGGGAAGAUCCCAUAAGCUUCCGCCCGGUCCACCAACAAUUCCGAUCUUCGAGAACCUUUUCCAGGUUGGUGAUAAACCCCAUAGGUCCCUUGCCAAACUUGCCAAGAUUCAUGGGGACAUCAUGACUCUGAAACUUGGCCAGACUACUACCGUAGUUUUUUCAUCUGCAACAAUGGCCAAAGAAAUCUUCCAAAAGCAUGAUGCCGUAUCUUGUAACCGAACCAUUCCCGAUGCCCUUCGUGCCCUUCAACAUCACGAAGCCGGAUUGCCUUGGAUGCCUGUUUCAACCACAUGGAGAAAUCUUAGGAAAAUCUGCAAUUUGCAUAUUUUCGCUACUCAUAAACUUGACGCUAAUCAAUACUUGAGGCGCAGCAAAGUAGAACAACUCCUUGCUGGUGUUCGCGAAAGUUCCCUCAUCGGAGAAGCGAUUGAGAUACGUUAAGCUGCUUUCAAAACUACGCUUAGUCUCAUAUCAAAUACUAUUUUCUCCAUUGAUUUAGCCGACUCUACUCAUACUUCUGAGGAGUU